rnacentral:rRNA from 1 species
GACGUAGGAGGCGAGCGUUGUCCGGAUUCAUUGGGCGUAAAGAGCACGCAGGCGGUUUGGCAAGUCGGAUGUGAAAACCCGGAGCUCAACUCCGGACCUGCAUCCGAAACUGCCCGACUAGAGGUAGGUAGGGGAGAUCGGAAUUCCUGGUGUAGCGGUGAAAUGCGCAGAUAUCAGGAGGAACACCGGUGGCGAAGGCGGAUCUCUGGGCCUUACCUGACGCUCAGGUGCGAAAGCUAGGGGAGCGAACGG